GUCUACAGCCAUACCACCCUGAAUAUACCCAAUCUCAUCUGGUCUCGAAAGCUAAGCAGGUUUGAGCCUGAUUAGUACUUGGAUGGGAAAAAGAUUUCAGAGAAGACUGCUCAGAGACA
rnacentral:rRNA from 1 species